UGGCGGACGGGUGAGUAACGCGUGAGCAACCUGCCUUUCAGAGGGGGAUAACAUUUGGAAACAGAUGCUAAUACCGCAUAAGAUUACAGUACCGCAUGAUACAGUGAUCAAAGGAGCAAUCCGCUGAAAGAUGGGCUCGCGUCCGAUUAGAUAGUUGGUGAGGUAACGGCUCACCAAGUCGACGAUCGGUAGCCGGACUGAGAGGUUGAACGGCCACAUUGGGACUGAGACACGGCCCAGACUCCUACGGGAGGCAGCAGUGGGGAAUAUUGCACAAUGGGCGAAAGCCUGAUGCAGCAACGCCGCGUGAGGGAAGACGGUUUUCGGAUUGUAAACCUCUGUUUUCGGUGACGAACAAAUGACGGUAACCGAGUAGGAAGCCACGGCUAACUACGUGCCAGCAGCCGCGGUAAUACGUAGGUGGCAAGCGUUAUCCGGAAUUACUGGGUGUAAAGGGAGCGCAGGCGGGAUAGCAAGUCAGCUGUGAAAACUAUGGGCUCAACCCAUAA
rnacentral:rRNA from 1 species